CUGCAUGGCCGUCGUCAGCUCGUGUCGUGAGAUGUUGGGUUAAGUCCCGUAACGAGCGCAACCCCUAUCCCUGGUUGCUAGCAGGUAAUGCUGAGAACUCCAGGGAGACUGCCGGUGACAAACCGGAGGAAGGUGGGGAUGACGUCAGGUCAUCAUGGCCCUUACGGCCAGGGCUACACACGUGCUACAAUGGCGCGUACAGAGGGCUGCGAACUCGCGAGAGUAAGCCAAUCCCUUAAAACGCGUCGUAGUCCGGAUCGGAGUCUGCAACUCGACUCCGUGAAGUCGGAAUCGCUAGUAAUCGCGAAUCAGAAUGUCGCGGUGAAUACGUUCCCGGGUCUUGUACACACCGA
rnacentral:rRNA from 1 species